rnacentral:rRNA from 1 species
GACGAACGCUGGCGGCGUGCUUAACACAUGCAAGUCGAACGGAAAGGCCCUGCUUUUGUGGGGUGCUCGAGUGGCGAACGGGUGAGUAACACGUGAGUAACCUGCCCUUGACUUUGGGAUAACUUCAGGAAACUGGGGCUAAUACCGGAUAGGAGCUCCUGCUGCAUGGUGGGGGUUGGAAAGUUUCGGCGGUUGGGGAUGGACUCGCGGCUUAUCAGCUUGUUGGUGGGGUAGUGGCUUACCAAGGCUUUGACGGGUAGCCGGCCUGAGAGGGUGACCGGCGGCAGGAGGCCGGAGAGAGGGCGCAGACUCGAACGAGAGACAGGUGGGGGGAGGAUGAGGCAAGGAGCGGAAGUGUAAAGGGGGAGCGAUGGGGGCGGGAGGACGGCCUGAGGGGGGGAAAGAGCAGGGGAGUGAGACGAAGAUGUAGUGAAGGUAACGGGAAAAGAAGCACCGGCGAACGGCGUG